rnacentral:rRNA from 1 species
UGGGGAAUAUUGGACAAUGGAGGAAACUCUGAUCCAGCAAUUCUGUGUGUGUGAAGAAGGUUUUAGGACUGUAAAACACUUUUAGUAGGGAAGAAAAAAAUGACGGUACCUACAGAAGAAGCAACGGCUAAAUACGUGCCAGCAGCCGCGGUAAUACGGAAGGUCCAGGCGUUAUCCGGAUUUAUUGGGUUUAAAGGGAGCGUAGGCUGUUUGUUAAGCGUGUUGUGAAAUGUAAGAGCUCAACUUUUAGAUUGCAGCGCGAACUGGCAGACUUGAGUGCGCACAACGUAGGCGGAAUUCAUGGUGUAGCGGUGAAAUGCUUAGAUAUCAUGACGAACUCCGAUUGCGAAGGCAGCUUACGGGAGCGCAACUGACGCUAAAGCUCGAAGGUGCGGGUAUCGAACAGG